rnacentral:rRNA from 1 species
UACGUAGGAGGCAAGCGUUGUCCGGAAUUACUGGGCGUAAAGCGCGUGUAGGUGGUGGGACAAGUCUGCUGUGAAAGCGCCUGGCUUAACCGGGCGAGGUCGGCGGAAACUGUCCGACUCGAGGACGGUAGAGGGGGGUGGAAUUCCCGGUGUAGUGGUGAAAUGCGUAGAGAUCGGGAGGAACCCCUGUGGCGAAGGCGGCCCCCUGGGCCGGCCCUGACACUGAGACGCGAAGGCGUGGGGAGCGAACGGG